UGCCAGCCGCCGCGGUAAUACGAAGGGUGCUAGCGUUGUUCGGAAUUACUGGGCGUAAAGCGCACGUAGGCGGAUCGGAAAGUUGGGGGUGAAAUCCCGGGGCUCAACCCCGGAACUGCCUUCGAUACUGGUAGUCUUGAGGUCGAGAGAGGUGAGUGGAAUUCCGAGUGUAGAGGUGAAAUUCGUAGAUAUUCGGAGGAACACCAGUGGCGAAGGCGGCUCACUGGCUCGAUACUGACGCUGAGGUACGAAAGUGUGGGGAGCAAACAGGAUUAGAUA
rnacentral:rRNA from 1 species